rnacentral:rRNA from 1 species
UACGGGGGGGGCAAGCGUUGUUCGGAAUUACUGGGCGUAAAGCGUGCGUAGACGGUUAUCUAAGUCGGAUGUGAAAGCCCCGGGCUCAACCUGGGAACUGCGUCUGAUACUGGAUGGCUUGAAUCCGGGAGAGGGAUGCAGAAUUCCAGGUGUAGCGGUGAAAUGCGUAGAUAUCUGGAGGAAUACCGGUGGCGAAGGCGGCAUCCUGGACCGGCAUUGACGCUGAGGAGCGAAAGCCAGGGGAGCAAACGGG